rnacentral:lncRNA from 1 species
UUUACUUAUCUUCUUUGAGUGUGUUUUACCAUUGUGCAUUCUUUUUGGUAUAUUGUUUUCAGCACAAGAGUUUUUGUAAUUUGAGCAGUCGGGUAUUUUUCCGACUGUGCAAAGUUUUGAUCUUUUGGAAGUAAAGUUUUUGAGAAUAUUCAUCUGCUUGUGUUUCAGAUCCUACACGACGACAUUGGUUGCACAAGUCUUUUGACUUUGACCCGAUCCGUCUGUUAAAAACUUUGUCUUCUUCCUUUGUCCACUAAACCUCCACAAUUGUUCAAACUACUUAAAAGCAUAUUAUAAACACAAUUGCAGUUUCA